UACACGCCGCGCAGGUUAGUAGUCGUUCGCGGCCGUCCUUCCCAUUUGUCGGUCGCUAUUGCUGUUUUACAAAUCAUAGCAAUAUUGUACACAUUUAUAUAUAGAUAUGGUAUCAGUCGUUUUUUCAUCUCGAGAAUUUUUUUCCAUGUACAAGCACAUGUGCUUGUCUUUUUUCUGUGUACUCCAGUGAACUACUAAAACACAUGCAAUGGACUUGUGAGCUCUGUCAUCGAGCCGGGGAACACGUGUUGCUUGAAUUUCGCGAAUCCGUCUGCCAAUUUAGUCGAAACGUUAACAUUCAGGUAAAUGUGUCCACUGCUAAGUAUAAACUGCAGCAGAUAACGUGCCUCGGUCGGGACAAAAACCAGUUGGCCAUCUAUCACGUGUGUAGUGCGUGCAACAUAAAGAUUGCCUGGGUCAACCGGUGCGCUGUCUAUGUGUGUGUGACUGAACGCUAAAAGACAGCAACCGAGUUUCAUAUCUGCGGCAGUCUUAUUCAAUUACGAGCGGACAGGAAACAAAAAAAAAACCAGCCCGACGGCAAUAUUAUUGACGACACGGUUAAUAAAAACGGUACCAACUUCAGCCACGGCCGUCGUUCAGCAAAUGCACAAGCUCAAAAUCAAAGCGGAUUAAAAAAGUUCGAGUUAAACUACUUUACACGGGUCCUUCUCGACCGCAGUCGUUGUGUUCUAUUGUUAUUAUUACUUGCAUUAUUUUCAUUAACAAUUUAUGUAUAACUAAGAAGUUGUUAAAUACAUUUUGAGUUUGCUAAGUUCAAACUAUGGUGUAUCAAUUGUCAUGGGAAAUCUUGUGAGAUUGUCUACUGUUAUUUAUUAAGAACAAAAUAUACACUAGGAAACCAUCAAAUAUUAUCACUUUAUUAUAGCAGCAGCAGCAGUUGUUUCAAUACAGAUGUAACAAAAAAAGCAACACGUUGCCAGAUUCCGUUAUAAGUAUAUGUCAUUCAUUACCAUAACGACGUCGAACGCACAAUAGUCAAAAUUGUGCUUGAUUAUCUAAAUGGUAUCUUGUGCAUAUGAUGUGUUAUGUAUUAUGUGAUGUAUUCCUUACUUUAAUCUUAUGAUUAUUAAGUAAUAUCAACAUUUAUAAUUGUAAGGUUGUUGUAUGAAAAUAAGAAUGAGUUUUGAAAAGAAAGAAAGAUAUAUAAGGAUUUUUAUCGUUUUAUUUUUCAGAUGUUCUUUAUGUUUUGGCAAUUCAAUGCAUUUUGCUAAUCGGUCGAUGACCUGUGUAACUAUUGUAUAAAUUCGACAAAUAUUGCACAUGUCCCGGCCAAUUAGCUAAGGCUGCAAACACAACAAUGAAACUCUUCAUUGACACGAGUGAUCAAAUUUUAUCAUCAAGAAUAUAUGUGAAAAUGUUUGCAAAAUAGGUUGUGUUGUGUGCAAUGUGCGUUUGUUCAAUUAGUAUGUUAUUUUCAUAUUGCACUUGACCCAGCCUGCAAUGCACAUUUUUUAUCAUCAUGGUAUCAACUUAUCAAUUUUAUAUUAUUUAAAGUUUUUGUUUUAUAUUUUAUUAAAAAAUUAUAACUACGUAUUAUAUUAUUAAAUUUAAAUAAAUAAAUUGCACCUACUUAUUUUAUGUUUAGUUACCUACACUUAUAUUUUAUUUCAAAGACUAAAUUAGUUCUUU